GCGCGCGCGCUUCUGUGAAUGGAAUUCAUCUUCUGAAUGUGGCGACCGUUGAGAUUCUGCACGAGGGCGAUGUUGUGUUACUCUAGCUCGGCUUGUUUGUUGUCUGGGGUAACGCUGUUGCUGGGGACGAUGUCAGAACACAUUCAGCUCUCAAUAGCCCUGUGUAGGAUUGGCUUUUACACGUGUCUCCAGAAGUUGUGCUGUAUGACCCCCCCUCCUCCUAGACCGGAGUAUGAUGUUGUGUGCAUUGGACUGAGUGGAGCCGGCAAGACCAGUCUGUUAUCUCGCUUGUGCAAUGAGAUCAGUGAUGGCACAGUACCAACCUCAGGUUUCAGCAUCAAGGCAGUGCCAUUCGAAAAUGCAAUACUGAAUGUGAAGGAACUAGGAGAUUUGUACAAGACUGAAUCCAUGAAUGUGAACCUAACACCAGGAUUGUGUGCCAUUCAGAAUUUAAGAGCUGAAACCAUCAAGAAAUACUGGAGCCGAUAUUAUCAAGGUUCCCAAGGUGUGGUGUUUGUCCUCAACAGUGCUGCUUCAGAUGAAGAGAUGGAGGCGUCCCGGUCUGAGCUCCAUUUGGCCAUGCAGCAUCCUCAGCUUUGCACCCUUCCUUUCCUCAUUCUCGCCAACCACCAGGAUUCACCAACUGCCCGCUCUGUAUCAGAGGCAUACUGUGUGUCCUGUCACAGUGAGGGAUCAAGUACCACACGUCGAUCCUCACUUAACUCUGACAUACUUGCCAAUCGCAUUGAAUGGGAUAUGGCCUGACUUAGUUUUCAUCUGUCCCAGAGAGUCCAGGACCUCACCAGCACCCCUCAGUUUGAACACUAUAUAGAUGCAGGUGGUGUUGUGAAACUGUGGUUAAAAGAACAUGAUCCAGACUCAUGAGGUUUACUGCAAGGGCUCAGUCACCUUGCCCAGAGAGCUACAGAGACUAAACACCCUUCAAACUCUGAGUCAUGAUGUAUAAUCAGCAGGUCAUCACUGCCCACUGAGCAGCUACACAACUGACUCUAAUUCUUCUCUCAGAAGUGCCACUGCCAUCUGUCAUAACUAACCGGAUUUGAGCUUUCAUCACAAAGUCUAAAGCUAAAAUUACCUUUGAACGUAGCUAACUGUGACGUUAACAACUCAUUGCCAUAGAAAAACUUUUUUGGACCGUGGUGAGUUGAUUCACGUCACACUAAAUGCUGUUUACAGACACACAGGACCUGUUUAAUAUUUGGAGCAGCAGUUAAGAUGUUUUGUACAUGGGACAUAUCAGUUUAUAACACCUGAAAUAAUUUUUACUCUGAAAUGUGACCGAUAUUAUUUGUUUCUGAUCAAUAGUUUUAAAGAUAAGUUGUGUAUAGGAUUUCCCAAGCAAGGCAGCAACAGCGGGAACAUUCUUUGUUGUUGCAAGCUAGUUAUUAGCACCGCCCGGUAUCAUUUUAUGGCAUAAUGUUGGCGACGUCUUGUUUUUAGAUUGCCACAGUGAACUUUAAAAGACUCAUUGGACCUGUAAAGGCCUCACUAGGGCCCUGUAUGUGACUUGUUUUCAGGAGGGAAAUAUUCAUGGGAUGGAAUUCCUUGUUGACACCAACCUCCUGCUGUUGGGGCCCAAGGAGGAAGUGAGCAGAGAGAGGGGCGUCAUAUGUUGAUAUAACACCUCAACAAAGCAGGCUGUGUAGAUGUUUUGCCCUGUUUCUUGUUUUAUGAAUGUUUCCUGCAUGAAUGCUCAAAUGUUGGGCUGAAGAACCGAUCUUAGGAUAAAGAAGACAUCAUAUUAUCAACUGCGAGGAAAUCAGUCAUAGUUUCACAUGCAGAAGUAUUUUAGAGGUGCAUUGCAGUUCUGAUGGCAUCAUCCUGCAAGUUUCUAGAUCUGUUUCAGAUGAUCUGAUCUAGUGGUCGACCAGUAUAUUGGAUGAUAUUUGGCUUUUUUAUAAUCUUCAUUGCCCGAAAUUGGUGGAAAAUGGACUUUUAUAAUGAGAGUGCUGAAAAUGUGCGCAGAUGCACAGUUAAUGAUUAAACAAAUAAUUUAAACAGUAUGUGAAUCUGAUCACAAGAAGUAAGGUGAGAUAGACUGUUGUGUGCACCAGGUAAAAAAAACUGAUGGUCGAAACCAUAUUUCCAUAUUUCUUAUGGAGCAGUUAUAUCAGUGUGCAGACAAUACGUUUGUUAUUUGUUAGGUUAUUUUUAUAAGGCACAUGAAUAUAUAAAUGCAUUUUUAGUAUACUUAGCACAUAAUAAAUGUGUUUCAAGUACAUUUUUGUAUUUUUUUCA